AAAUAACAACACAAAACCCUUCUCAAUGUUUCCUCUUAUCUUCCUCUGCACUUUCAUCUCUCUCUCUUCCUCUGUACUUAAAGCUUCCUUUGUUACGCAAAUCUUUUUUUCCUUCUCCAACGCAAGUUUUGGCUUUAGACACUCGCCGUCUCCAUUUUCUCGCUGUUCGCCGUAAACCCAUCCCAUUCGUUAAAACUCCGGUUGUCUCCGGCGUAGCUUUCGGCUUGGGUCAAUACUUAGUGAAUCUUCAAACCGGACAAUCGGCUCAGUUGUUGCUUCUUUUCAUAUAUUGAAUAAACAAUUUCAUGAGAUAUAUGUAACAAAUCCCAAAAGGAAUAGGCAUAAUAUGUAAAGCCCAUUUAAAAACCUGGCUUUUACUUCUUUUCACAAUAGAUUGAACCUUGGUUAUUUUGCUCCUUUAAUUAAUUUGGUUUGCGCGCGGGUCGUCGGAUUAACGGGUCGGGUAAUCGAUUUUUUCUCUGAAAUUCCACAAUUUACCCUCUCUAAUUUGGAUUACUAUUUUCCCUUGACAAAGAUUGAAGGGUAAUUUUGAAAAUUUUUGGUCAAUUAUUGGGAACGCUAAAUGUGUAAUUCUCUUUUAAUAUAUACCAGAAUAUAAAAUUU
rnacentral:lncRNA from 1 species